rnacentral:piRNA from 1 species
GCCUCAGGGACAUUGACCGUAGCACC